rnacentral:rRNA from 1 species
GAUGAACGCUGGCGGCGUGCCUAAUACAUGCAAGUCGAGCGAACGGACGAGAAGCGUUUUCUUCUGAUGUUAGCGGCGGACGGGCGAGUAACUCGUGGAUAACCUAUCUAUAAGACUGGGAUAACUUCGGGAAACCGGAGUUAACACCGGACAAUAUCUUUAACCGCAUGGCUCAAAAGUGAAAGACGGUCUUGCGGUCACUUAUAGAUGGACCUGCGCUGCAUUAGCUAGUUGGUAAGGUAACGGCUUACCAAAGCAACGAUGCUUAGCCGACCUGAGAGGGUGAUCGGCCACACUGGAACUGAGACACGGUCCAGACUCCUACAGGAGGCAGCAGUAGAGAAUCUUCCGCGAUGGGCGAAAGCCUGACGGUGCAACGCCGCGUAAGUGAUGAAGGUCUACGGAUCGUAAAACUCUGUUAGUAGGGGAAAACAUAUGUGUAAGUAACUAUGCACAUCUUGACGGUACCUAAUCAGAAAGCCACGGCUAACUACGUG